CGGACGGGUGAGUAACGCGUGGAUAACCUGCCCCAUACCGGGGGAUAACAGCCGGAAACGGCUGCUAAUACCGCAUAAGCGCACGGGAAUGCAUGUUUCUGUGUGAAAAACUCCGGUGGUAUGGGAUGGAUCCGCGUCUGAUUAGCUGGUUGGCGGGGUAGAGGCCCACCAAGGCGACGAUCAGUAGCCGACCUGAGAGGGUGGCCGGCCACAUUGGGACUGAGACACGGCCCAGACUCCUACGGAAGGCAGCAG
rnacentral:rRNA from 1 species